AAUCAACGCUGGCGGCGUGCCUAACACAUGCAAGUCGAACGCGAAAGCCCCGCAAGGGUAAGUAGAGUGGCAAACGGGUGAGCAACACGUGGGUGACCUGCCUUCGAGUGGGGGAUAACGUCCCGAAAGGGACGCUAAUACCGCAUGACAUCCUGCUUUUUAAGAGGUGGAGAUCAAAGCCGGGGAUCGCAAGACCUGGCGCUUGAAGAGGGGCCCGCGCCUGAUUAGCUUAGNGGUGGGGUAAUGGCUCACCAAGGCAACGAUCAGUAUCCGGCCUGAGAGGGCGGACGGACACACUGGGACUGAGACACGGCCCAGACUCCGUACGGGAGGCAGCAGUGGGGAAUUGUUCG
rnacentral:rRNA from 1 species